rnacentral:tRNA from 1 species
GCGGGCGUGAUGGAAUUAGGCAGACAUGAUGGCUUUAGGUGCCAUUGCUCGAAAGAGCGUGAGGGUUCGAGUCCCUCCGCCCGCACCA